GCCAUUUCAGAAGGGUGGGGAAUGCAUGGAUAGGUGGGGAAAUUCCAUGGGAGAAGCUGGAGAAGGUAGGUUUAGGUGUGAUCUAAUUGAGAGUGUCUGAUGUGAGCCAACAGGGAAGAUGGAGGGAGAUGUUUUAUUUAUAAGGGCCUGGAGUGUCAGGAAAAGUGGGAAUGGCUUCACACUGCUAGAGGGCAGGGACAGAUGGGAUAUUGUGAAGAAAUUCUUCCCUGUGAGGGUGGGAAAGCCAUGGAAUAAAUUUCCCAGAGAAGCUGUGGCUGUCCCUGGAUCCCUGGAAGUGUCCAAGGCUGGGUUGGACACUGGGGCUUGGAGCAGCCUGGGACAGUGGGAGGUGUCCCUGCCCUGGAUGAGCUUUAAGGUCCUGUCCCCAAACCAUUCCAUGAUCCUGUAAUUCCCUGUCUGUCCCUGUCUGUGUCCCAGUCAUGUUGCUAGGGCAGGAGGCAGGGUUGGAUCUCCUCUCCCAAGGUUUAAUCCAGGCAGGUGCUCUGGGGCUGUCCCUGCACAGGGAAUCCCUGCAGGAAUGCCAUCCAGAUAAAAAGCUGAUUAAAUUCCAGCUGCACAACACGAGCACCAUCCCUCAGGAUGGCCAAGGGGAUAAAACAACCUUUCCAGUGCUAAUUCCCUACUGAUUUGGGCCUUGCUGUCCUUCCCUUUGCAUUUUACCUUCCCUUCCCUUUGGAAAGAGUCCUCUUGCAUGUUCCCAACAUGUCCUGUCUCAUUUAUAUUUACCCAUCUUUGUUAGAUGGUGAAUAUUUUGGGGUGUUUCCAUGAAAAGCCUUCCCUGCAGGAAGGCUCCAGGGCUGUGGGAUGUGUUCCCAGGUGGAAUACUACCCCUUCCACCAGCUCCAGGGCUGUGGGAUGUGUUCCCAGAUGGAAUUUUGCCCCUGCUGUCACCUCCAGGGCUCUGGGAUGUGUUCCCAGGUGGAAUACUGUCCUUCCUGCCAGCUCCAGGGGUCUGGGGUAUAUUCCCAUGUGUAAUUCUGCCCCUGCCACCAGUUCCAAGGCUGUUCCCCAGACGGAAUAGUGCCCCUGCCAGCUCCAGGGCUGCUUCCCAGGCGGAAUAGUGCCCAGCUCUAUGUGUUCCCAGGUGGAAUUCUGCCCCUGCCACCAGCUCCAGAGCUGUGGGAUGUGUUCCCAGGUGGAAUACUGCCCCUGCCACCAGCUCCAGGGCUGUGGGAUGUGUUCCCAGGUGGAAUACUGUCCCUG